GCCCGGGUGGUGGAAUCGGUAGACACAAGGGAUUUAAAAUCCCUCGGCGUUCGCGCUGUGCGGGUUCAAGUCCCGCUCCGGGUACCA
rnacentral:tRNA from 12 species